UCUCGAUUAGUCUAGUGGUUAGGAUACCUGCUUGUCAUCAGACUAAGUCCUAUGAUAGGAUCGAAUCCGCAGGUGGCCGGGGUUCAAUUCCCCGAUCGAGAG
rnacentral:tRNA from 1 species